UGCUCUUUCACAUCAAUAAUUUUUUGUAUUAUUCCAUAACCCAAAAGCUUUCCUCUGUUUCAACUAAGCGAAAAUUUACAUAUUAAAGCCUAGCUCAAAUUCCUUUUUUCAAUCGAAAUAAAACGUAGCCCCAAAACCCUAAUUCACCACACCAAUUUAUCUCUGCCCGGUAUUCAUUUAAACCCUACCUCGCGGUUCAAUGUCAUUCAAUACGAUUGCAGAUGCCGUUUCAACUUGUCAUUUAGUUAUUGCCAUCCAGUUCUCUAUGGUAAGCCUUAACCCUAACAACUAAUCGACUGUGGUAGCACGUUGCUUGUUAGGAGUGGGGAUACAUUAUUUAACUAUAUGAAUUGGGUGAUGUUAGUGAUUCAUUCCCCUAUUUGUCAUGAAUUAAGAUUUGUGUAUAAUGCUAGUCAGAUUGCUAAAAAUUUCAUAUUUUGUAUUGUUCCAGUUGAAUUUCUUGCUUGUGGAAGAUAAAACAAAAGUUCAAUUUCAUGUUGAUUUAAUUCUUCUUUUUCUUCUUUUUUUUUUUCUUCUUUAUAGUCACGCUCUGGCUUUGGUGCUAUGCUUAGUGCAGUUUAUGGUUUCAAGAUUAAGUCACGUUUAUUUGAUGGCAUCGAUUCCAUCAUUAAGAAGCUCUUCUUAUUUUAUCUCAGUUUCAAUUUUCUUUUAUUAUCUGCCUCUACCUGAAAAUGGACGUGUUUUACUAGUAAGCAUAGACUUUGUUUAUUUAAUUGAUAUUUUAAUUUUAUGUAUAAGAAUAGAGGUUUAUUUUGGAAAAAAAAGCAAUAAAAAAACAGACUCUGUUGAAGCUAAUUAGUACUGAAUGUUUUUGGUGGUGCGACCAGAGGUGGAAACAGGGUAUGAAAAUGUGUUACUAGUGAGGUUGCUGCUUAAGAUGAGAAUGCAUUCUUUUCAAAAAUCCUUGGUAGGUGUGAUCUAAUUAUAUUUGAUGGAAUAUUAAAUGGCUAAAAAUCUGUCAUACGUUCAAACUUUGUUUGUGUUUAGAAGAAUGGUGUUGAUUGUAUAUUCAUUUGCUUAGCCUUUUGACAGAUGGAUUUGAAACUGACGACAAAUGUGAUUCAAUUUACAAGGUUUUCGAGGGGCUCACAGUGGAAGGGAUAUUGAAGAACUGGUCUAAGAUAAAGCCUAUGAUUGUGAAGGAAGGGAUAUUGAAGAACUGGUCCCUUUUGACAG
rnacentral:lncRNA from 1 species